rnacentral:rRNA from 1 species
UACGUAGGUGGCAAGCGUUGUCCGGAAUUACUGGGCGUAAAGGGCGUGUAGGCGGUCUGAUAAGUCAGACGUGAAAUCUCUGGGCUUAACCUGGAGGCUGCGUUUGAAACUGUCGGACUUGAGGACCGGAGAGGGCAGUGGAAUUCCCAGUGUAGCGGUGAAAUGCGUAGAUAUUGGGAGGAACACCGAUGGCGAAGGCAGGUCUCUGGGCCAUUACUGACACUGAGAAGCGAAAGCAUGGGGAGCGAACAGG